AAAACUUUAUCAAUUUCUUAUAUUUUAUCUGCUGCAAACCUCCUUCUAUUAUUCCACUCAGGACCACCCCCCAAUCCAAGAAACAGCUGGAUAGACUCGACCUAUUUCAGACUCAGCCAGACUUGCCAAGUCAUCAUACUACAUGCGGUGUGUUGACUGAUAAGCCCGUUCUAAUAUCCCCAAUUGUUGGAGAGGAUUUUUGGCCUCAGCUAAAAUCUUCCGUUGACACUCUGCCCAGGCUGUUAUGAAGUCUCAUGUAGGCUGAAUACCUGCCCAAGUCAUAAAAAUCUACAUCAGCAAGGCACCUGUGGACCAAGACCAGAGCUUCAUAUAUAAUCCAAAUGAAGAAAUCAAGAAGUUGGUUAAAUAAACAAUCCUGGAGCUCAGUGGGGUAAACUGAAACCAGAAACAUUUAAAUAUUGUUAGCAUGCAGGUGACAUUUAAAGCCACAAGACCAGAAAAGAUGAUCUACAAAGAGGGUAUAAUUUGAG
rnacentral:lncRNA from 1 species